UACGUAGGGUGCAAGCGUUAAUCGGAAUUACUGGGCGUAAAGCGUGCGCAGGCGGUUUUGUAAGUCUGUCGUGAAAUCCCCGGGCUCAACCUGGGAAUGGCGAUGGAGACUGCAAGACUAGAGUUUGGCAGAGGGGGGUAGAAUUCCACGUGUAGCAGUGAAAUGCGUAGAGAUGUGGAGGAACACCGAUGGCGAAGGCAGCCCCCUGGGUCAAGAUUGACGCUCAUGCACGAAAGCGUGGGGAGCAAACAGG
rnacentral:rRNA from 1 species